rnacentral:lncRNA from 1 species
CCUUCAUUGUAGAUAUGGACGUGGACACGGCUUGGAUGUCAGCCAAGAGUCUCAAAGCCCACAAGAGGGAAGGCAUUGCAACUUUCGGGUCGGCGAAGAAGGCGAGGGUAGAAGAGACAGAUCCGACCGUGUUUCGCCUUGAUCGCCUAGAGCCCAUGCUUGUGGCACAUCUUCGACCAUGAGUACUUCCCGAUCCUAUGGAAGGGGGAAGCC